rnacentral:rRNA from 1 species
GCCAGACUCCUACGGGAGGCAGCAGUGGGGAAUAUUGGACAAUGGGGGGAACCCUGAUCCAGCGACGCCGCGUGAGUGAAGAAGUAUUUCGGUAUGUAAAGCUCUAUCAGCAGGGAAGAAAGAAAUGACGGUACCUGACUAAGAAGCCCCGGCUAACUACGUGCCAGCAGCCGCGGUAAUACGUAGGGGGCAAGCGUUAUCCGGAUUCACUGGGUGUAAAGGGAGCGUAGACGGCGACGCAAGUCUGGAGUGAAAGCCCGGGGCCCAACCCCGGGACUGCUCUGGAAACUGCGGCGCUGGAGUACGGGAGGGGCAGGCGGAAUUCCUGGUGUAGCGGUGAAAUGCGUAGAUAUCAGGAGGAACACCGGUGGCGAAGGCGGCCUGCUGGACUGCGACUGACGUUGAGGCCCGAAAGCGUGGGGAGCAAACAGGAUUAGAUACCCUGGUACCC